GACGAACGCUGGCGGCGUGCUUAACACAUGCAAGUCGAACGGUAAGGCCCUUCGGGGUACACGAGUGGCGAACGGGUGAGUAACACGUGGGUGAUCUGCCCUGCACUUCGGGAUAAGCCUGGGAAACUGGGUCUAAUACCGGAUAGGACUCCUGGCUUCAUGGUUGGGGGUGGAAAGCUUUUGCGGCGUGGGAUGGGCCCGCGGCCUAUCAGCUUGUCGGUGGGGUAAUGGCCUACCAAGGCGACGACGGGUAGCCGGCCUGAGAGGGUGACCGGUCACACGGGCACUGAGAUACGGCCCAGACUCCUACGGGAGGCAGCAGUGGGGAAUAUUGCACAAUGGGCGCAAGCCUGAUGCAGCGACGCCGCGUGAGGGAUGACGGCCUUCGGGUUGUAAACCUCUUUCAGCUAUGACGAAGCGCAAGUGACGGUAGUAGCAGAAGAAGGACCGGCCAACUACGUGCCAGCCGCCGCGGUAA
rnacentral:rRNA from 1 species